AAACUUACGCUCUAGCUGCCUAAGGGCCGCUUGUCCGCUUCCUAGAAUACUUGUGGUCUGGGAACCCGACUGAAGCGCACGCACACAAGUCCGUAUAGAGUCAAGCCUCGGGGCUUUAUACCAAACUUAGAGGAUCGCACCUUGUACCCUGUUCGUCGGGUCACUUGGUGUUAAAACAAUAGACGAUAUCUAAGCAUGUAGUAUUCUCGAGCGUAGUGCUGGCGGACGCGGGUUCAACUCCCGCCAUCUCCACCA
rnacentral:tmRNA from 1 species